rnacentral:rRNA from 1 species
UACGGGGGGGGCAAGCGUUGUUCGGAAUUACUGGGCGUAAAGGGCGUGUAGGCGGCCAACUAAGUCCGACGUGAAAUCCCCAGGCUUAACCUGGGAACUGCGUCGGAUACUGGAUGGCUUGAAUCCGGGAGAGGGAUGCGGAAUUCCAGGUGUAGCGGUGAAAUGCGUAGAUAUCAGGAGGAACACCUGUGGCGAAAGCGGCUCACUGGACCAUAACUGACG